rnacentral:rRNA from 1 species
GACGAACGCUGGCGGCGUGCUUAACACAUGCAAGUCGAACGGAAAGGCCCUGCUUUUGUGGGGUGCUCGAGUGGCGAACGGGUGAGUAACACGUGAGUAACCUGCCCUUGACUUUGGGAUAACUUCAGGAAACUGGGGCUAAUACCGGAUAGGAGCUCCUGCUGCAUGGUGGGGGUUGGAAAGUUUCGGCGGUUGGGGAUGGACUCGCGGCUUAUCAGCUUGUUGGUGGGGUAGGGGCUUACCAAGGCUUUGACGGGUAGCCGGCCUGAGAGGGUGACCGGCCACAUUGGGACUGAGAGACGGCCCAGACUCCUACGGGAGGCAGCAGUGGGGAAUAUUGCACAAUGGGCGGAAGCCUGAUGCAGCAACGCCGCGUGCGGGAUGACGGCCUUCGGGUUGUAAACCGCUUUCGCCGGUGACGAAGCGUGAGUGACGGUAAUGGGUAAAGAAGCACCGGCUAACUACGUG